GAAAGUAUUCUGCAACAAGAUAAAGCUGGCGAUGAACUGAUCGCAGAAUGCGAACAUUUACUGAAACCUGUUCUGUCUAAGACUGACGACACCGGAAAAGAGUUUUUACAAAAUGAAAUAAACAGUCAGAAAAAGAACUGGCGCGAAUUUCUCGAUAAAUGUAAACAGACCAAAGAAAAACUGAUUAUCAAGAAAGGUCAAGCUGAAAAGCUUCAGAGUAAAAUUACAUCGUUGGACGAGUUUUUGAAAAACUCCGAAAAUAAAUUCAAAGAUCAAAGCUUGAAAAAUUGAUUGGAGUCGAAGAAACUUUAUUUGGACGAUGUAAAAAGUACCUUCCAACGAUUUAAAUAAUAAAAAUAUCGAAUUCGAAGAUCUUAAAAAAGAACCCGGUGCAACGAAUCCUGAGCUUACCGAAAUAGUCAUGAAAUUAAUAGCGAGAUAUCAAAACGUCAAACAGAAAGCAAAGGAAUGUGUUACCAGAUAUGAGAAAUUCGUCAAGGAACAUGAAACUUUUGAAAACGAUUAUAACAACUUUUUACAGAAAUGUAAUAAACUAAAAGAAGAAGUUGAACAAAACAGUAAACCGAUCGGAAAUGUCAGUUCAUUAAAGGAAAGGCAGAAAAAACUGAACGAAUUGCUGGAUUCAAAAACGAAUGAAAACAUACACAAUUCGAAUUGAUCAACGAACAAGGGGAGAAGCUAUAU